GAUGAACGCUGGCGGCGUGCUUAACACAUGCAAGUCGAACGAAGCAUUUGCGACAGAUUUUUUCGGAAUGAAGUUGCUUAUGACUGAGUGGCGGACGGGUGAGUAACGCGUGGGUAACCUGCCUUGUACUGGGGGAUAGCAGCUGGAAACGGCUGGUAAUACCGCAUAAGCGCACAAUGUUGCAUGACAUGGUGUGAAAAACUCCGGUGGUAUAAGAUGGACCCGCGUCUGAUUAGCUAGUUGGUGAGAUAACAGCCCACCAAGGCGACGAUCAGUAGCCGACCAGAGAGGGAGACCGGCCACACUGGGACUGAGACACGGCCCAGACUCCUACGGGAGGCAGCAGUGGGGAAUAUAGCACAAUGGAGGAAACUCUGAUGCAGCGACGCCGCGAGAGUGAAGAAGUAAUGCGUUAUGUAAAGCUCUAUCAGCAGGGAAGAUAGUGACGGUACCUGACUAAGAAGCUCCGGCUAAAUACGUG
rnacentral:rRNA from 1 species